UAAGCAUAUCACUGAGCGCAGGAGAAGAAACUAACCAGGAUUUCCCUAGUAACGGCGAGCGAACCGGAAAGAGCCCAGCUUGAAAAUCGUGGCGCCCCGGCGCCUCGAAUUGUAGUCUGGAGAAGGUCCCUCUGCGGCGCGCCGGACCCAAGUUCCCUGGAAAGGGACGCCAUCGAGGGUGAGAGCCCCGCUGAUUCCGGAGUGCGCCGCUCCACGAGGACCUGUCUGCGAGUCGGGCUGUUUGGGAAUGCAGCCCUAAGCGGGUGGUAAAUUCCAUCCAAGGCUAAAUAUUGGCAAGAGACCGAUAGCGAACAAGUACCGCGAGGGAAAGAUGAAAAGGACUUUGAAAAGAGAGUUAAAAAGUGCUUGAAAUUGCUGGGAGGGAAGCGAAUGGAAGCUGCGGGUGCGCCCCGGUUGGAUGUGGAACGGCUGUCAAAGGCUGGUCCGCCGCUCAACGCGGGGCGCUGGUCAGCGUGGGCCAUCGCGGCGGGACAAGAGCGGGGAUUCGCUUCCCGCCGAUGCCGCUGCGGUGGCCGAGGAACGAAGCGCGCGCCCUUCAUGGGCGUGGGACUUGUCCCAACUGCGCGCUCGGGACGCUGGCGUAUUGAGCUCUUCAUCCGACCCGUCUUGAAACACGGACCAAGGAGUCUAACAUGUAUGCGAGCCGGUGGGCGGCAAACCCAUUGAGGCGCAAGUAACCUGACAGGUGGGACCCCGACCGCAAGGGAGGGAGCACCAUCGACCGACCGUGAUCUUCUGUGAAGGGUUCGAG
rnacentral:rRNA from 1 species